rnacentral:rRNA from 1 species
GACGAACGCUGGCGGCGUGCUUAACACAUGCAAGUCGAACGGAAAGGCCCUGCUUUUGUGGGGUGCUCGAGUGGCGAACGGGUGAGUAACACGUGAGUAACCUGCCCUUGUCUUUGGGAUAACUUCAGGAAACUGGGGCUAAUACCGGAUAGGAGCUCCUGAUGCAUGGUGGGGGUUGGAAUGUUUCGGCUGUUGGGGAUGGACUCGCGGCUUAUCAGCUUGUUGGUGGGGUAGUGGCUUACCCAGGCUUUGACGGGUAGCCGGCCUGAGAGGGUGACCGGCCACAUUGGGACUAAGAUAGGGCCCAGACUCCAACGGGAGGCAGCAGGGGGGAAUAUGGCACAAUGGGCGGAAGCCUGUGGCAGCAACGCCGCGUGCGGGAUGACGGCCUUCGGGUUGUAAACCGCUUUCGCCUGUGACGAAGCGUGAGUGACGGUAAUGAGUAAAGAAGCACCGGCUAACUACGUG